CUAACAUAUCAGGGUCCAGCAACAAAAAACCCCGACUUAUAUCGGGGUUUUUUGUUAUCUAAAUUCUUAUAUUUAAUGAGAUUUAGAUUGUGCUUGGUAUUUAAAUUGGGCUCUGAGCCCUUUUUUU
rnacentral:sRNA from 1 species